UUGCACGCUGGCGGCAUGCCUUACACAUGCAAGUCGAACGGUAACAGGUCUUCGGAUGCUGCCGAGUGGCGAACGGGUGAGUAAUACAUCGGAACGUGCCCAGACGUGGGGGAUAACGAGGCGAAAGCUUUGCUAAUACCGCAUACGAUCUAAGGAUGAAAGCAGGGGACCGCAAGGCCUUGUGCGUUUGGAGCGGCCGAUGGCAGAUUAGGUAGUUGGUGGGAUAAAAGCUUACCAAGCCGACGAUCUGUAGCUGGUCUGAGAGGACGACCAGCCACACUGGGACUGAGACACGGCCCAGACUCCUACGGGAGGCAGCAGUGGGGAAUUUUGGACAAUGGGCGAAAGCCUGAUCCAGCAAUGCCGCGUGCAGGAUGAAGGCCUUCGGGUUGUAAACUGCUUUUGUACGGAACGAAAAGGCUCUGGCUAAUACCUGGGGCACAUGACGGUACCGUAAGAAUAAGCACCGGCUAACUACGUG
rnacentral:rRNA from 1 species